rnacentral:rRNA from 1 species
AUUGAACGCUGGCGGCAGGCUUAACACAUGCAAGUCGAGCGAGCGGCGGACGGGUGAGUACUGUCUGGGAAACUGCCUGAUGGCGGGGGAUAACUACUGGAAACGGUAGCUAAUACCGCAUACCAUCAGAUGUGCCCAGAUGGGAUUAGCUAGUAGGUGGGGUCAUGGCUCACCUAGGCGACGAUCCCUAGCUGGUCUGAGAGGAUGACCAUCCACAAGGGAACUGCACCACGGUCCAGACUCCUACGGGAGGCAGCAGGGGGGAAUAUUGCACAAUGGCAGCGAGCCUGAUGCAGCCAUGCCGCGUGUGUGAAGAAGGCCUUCGGGUUGUAAAGCACUUGCAGCGAGGAGGCGUUACUCGCAGAAGAAGCACCGGCUAACUCCGUGCCAGCAGCCGCGGUAAUAC